UCCAUUCAAUAGGCGGAGGAAAGAAACUAACAAGGAUUCCCCUAGUAACGGCGAGUGAAGCGGGAAAAGCUCAAAUUUGAAAUCUGGCAGCCUCAGGUUGUCCGAGUUGUAAUCUAUAGAAACGUUUUCCGCGCCGGCCCAUGUACAAGUCCCUUGGAACAGGGCGUCAUAGAGGGUGAGAAUCCCGUCCUUGACACGGACCACCGGUGCUUUGUGAUACGUUUUCAACGAGUCGAGUUGUUUGGGAAUGCAGCUCAAAAUGGGUGGUAAAUUCCAUCUAAAGCUAAAUAUUGGCGAGAGACCGAUAGCGAACAAGUACCGUGAGGGAAAGAUGAAAAGCACUUUGGAAAGAGAGUUAAACAGUAUGUGAAAUUGUUGAAAGGGAAACGAUUGAAGUCAGUCGUGUCUAUUGGACUCAGCCGGUUCUGCCGGUGUACUUCCUUUAGAUGGGGUCAACAUCAGUUUUGAUCGCUGGAAAAGGGCGGGAGGAAUGUAGCACUCUCGGGUGAACUUAUAGCCUUCCGUCGUAUACAGUGGUUGGGACUGAGGAACGCAGCAUGCCUUUAUGUCCGGGUUUCGCCCACGUACA
rnacentral:rRNA from 1 species